rnacentral:rRNA from 1 species
CAGUCGCCGCGGGAAUACGAAGGGUGCAAGCGUUAAUCGGAAUUACUGGGCGUAAAGCGUGCGUAGGCGGUUUGUUAAGUCUGUUGUGAAAUCCCCGGGCUCAACCUGGGAAUGGCAAUGGAUACUGGCAAGCUAGAGUGUGUCAGAGGAUGGCGGAAUUCCCGGUGUAGCGGUGAAAUGCGUAGAGAUCGGGAGGAACAUCAGUGGCGAAGGCGGCCAUCUGGGACAACACUGACGCUGAGGCACGAAAGCGUGGGGAGCAAACAGGAUUAGAUACCCCCGUAGUCCCUGUCUCUUAUAC